rnacentral:lncRNA from 1 species
AGAAACGGCUCCGGUUACUAGAGUUUUUCCUUACCAGUUCUUGCAACUCACAGUCAGUGUGACACCUCACACGUGGAAAGACACAGAACUGACCUAGAGACUGACUUUAUUCUACGGAUUGCAAUGGGGAGACCACCCCAGGUCUGAAGAGCAGACUGUGUCAGCAGGGUGGCUUUGCAUUGGACUUGAGAGAGAUUAAUAGACAGUGCUACUGUGGGAAACAUUCGGGGGAGGGGGGAGUCUAAUCAACUGAACAGGAAAUGUUUGUCUUUGUGACUAGCUGGUUUCAGGAGGGCUGACUUUGAAUCUCAGUUACGAUUCAUGAGACAGAAAACACGGAGCUGAGGGUCUGUGUCUGACCUUUAAGGACUCGGAGGAAGGUCUGUGUUUGGCCUGCUAGCAGGGUACACCCAUGGGACACCUGAGAGGCUUAUGGCAAAUAGGACAAAGAGUGGACCGCAAGCCUUACCUAAGUCCUAAAGGGAAGGCCGGUCUUUGCUGGUAAGCCACUUCGGGAACACAGAAGUCUGCAGAGAUGUCUUUUCUGUGGCUCUUUCGGGGCUCAGGUGAAGUUCAGCCUUGUCAAAUGGUAAAGAUGAGCCAGGCAUCUUUCGUGCCUGUCCAAGCAGAUAUGUGGAUAAGAAGAGAGGGUCCCUUCUUACCCUGGAAGUCAUCGACACUUGAACAACACUUUAUAGUUGGCAAUACAUGAUGCACAGUGGCCACACGGAGAGGAGACACAAAGCAGAUAUGUAAAGCCCAGCAGACAUGCGUACAGGUAGAGACGUUGCCAUUGUACCUAGGGGGUAACUGACAGUCAAACGGUACUUUGUGGUGUAAAAGAAAAUUCCCCUAGACUAAAUUAAUGACACAGAAAGCAGUUUUCUUCAUCAUCAGACUCAUUCUCCUCUCACUGAUGAGGUGUCUUGGGCACAGAGAGGUUAGGUCAGCUCCCCCACGUCAUUCAGGUCAUACUUGUUUGAAUCCCAAAGGCAAGGAACAUUCAGCCCGUCCAAACUAAGCCAUCCACCCCGAGUCCCUACACACAUCUGCACCUCCUCUAGUGUUUGCCUGACUCAGUGCAAGGCAGCCUUCUCCCCGGCUGCUUUGGCCAGAGAUCCUUACAGUCAUCUGUGCCUGCCGCCUCUGUCUCACCAUCCCCUCGGGCACCAAGCCCCGCCUUUCUGCUCCUAAGUCUAGGCAAGAUCUUGCCACUUCUCUCCAUCACCACAGUGAGAUCCCUAGUCCAGGUCACCCUCAGCUCUACCCUGCACGACCACCACCAAUCCUGAUCCUUUGCCACCCUUUUUCCAUUCCACUGCCCGAGGAACCUUUCUGAAGUCCUAAUCUAGGAACGCCACACCUGUUCAAACCUCUGUGGGGGCUGUCCGCUGCUCUAGGGAUAGUGUCCGGCCUCCUGGACUAGGCACAUCAGGAGUCGCGUGCCCCUGAGUGCCUGAUCCUCACCGGACCCCUCCUGCUCCAUUCCCCCCACUUGACAUUCCAACCACCCCAAACCCCUUUCUGUACCUCACAUGGCCAGUGUGCUCACAAUCGUUCCUGCUGACCACUCCCAGACUGCACAUCCUCACAGGUGCUGUUCCCGCCAUCCUCAUCUGCUGGUUUCCUUCUUCGGUUCGGUGUCACGUUGGGUGGUGCAAUUUCCAUUUUACCUGGGCCGCACCUGGAUGAGAAGUCAGUUAACUCCUACUUUUAUAGAAUGGGAUGUGGUGGGGAUUUCUUGUUGAAUUCCCCAAAUCAAAACAAGGUUUACUGUGGUUCACAGUGAGCUGAGCUGAAAUGCAAUCUGAUGCCUGCCUUUUUUGGGAAAAGCUUCCUUGCUAAUAAGCACAGGGGACAGAUGGCAAAGGUCUCUCUGCUUAUUGUAUUUGGGCCCACUUUUGCCUUUGAACAUGGACUUUGGAAUCAGAUCACAAUUUUGGAACUAUCAAUGGAUCCAGGGUGAUCACCUGCCUGACAGUGAGGAGGGAUAACCCAGAACAUGGGAGAUACCUGUCACUUUAUGGUGUCUGUGACCCAGUAAAUGGAACAGGCCCGAUCUGCUCUGCCCAUGGACUUUGUUUUGAUGACACGUUCACUAUUUCCCACUCGAUUUUAUAGUCGGAGUUCUCUGUUAGGACAACAGAAAGUACAGUAACUUUCCUCUCUUUGCAGUGGAGCUGAUUUUCUAGUUCUUGGGGCCCUGAGGGUGGCAGGGAUCAGCUGCCUGCUCAGGAUGGGGGGACCCUCCAAGGUCAUGUGCCAGUGCCUUCCUGCAGCUCCUCAGGUGUCUGCACAGGGUGCUGUCAACCCCUGGAGGCACCCAGACGAUCCAGUUCCUAGAAGGUCCGGGAGAGAGAGUGUGUAGGUUCUACCAGCUACACACUCAGCUGUGAGGAUCCCCUUCAUUCACUACAACUCCUCUAAGCAGAACACACCUAAGUAUGAAAUGAAGCGUGUGUCUCUGAUACGUAAGGUCAAAGAAAAAGAUGGAAAUGGCACCACCCCCCCUACCCCACAGCCACCCCAGUCAGAGGGUGGAGUAGACUCCUGGGGCCGUGGCCUGGAUCCCUCCACACUGAUGUGUCCCUAACAGGGGUGCAGUGUAAACGGCUCUUCCUCAAGCCUGGCUCUUGAGCUCAUGUGAGCAGGGCAGACACGGUUUUAUUUCCCCAAGGGCCAGAGAGGUAAGUAUCAACCCACCGCCUUCCACAGACAAGGAAAUAAGCUCAAAGAGGUUAAGUCGCUGAUGCAGUGGAGGGUGGAUCUGGGAGUCACGCCCCGGGUCUGUCAGACUCCUGAGCCAGUCUUCUUUGCCGUCACUUCACAACAAACUUGGUUUGGGUUUUUGUUGCUGAGAUGCAGAUACUGUUCCAUGAUGGGACAGUCACUGUUGUCCCAGUACCGUGUCCACCGGUGACGUCCAGGCACCCAGCAGGGCAAAGGCACCGUGAACGGCUCUCAGACCCUCUCUGUGUCGCCUUCAGGGGAGCUGCUCUGAAGCCCAGAGACCCGGAGUCCACUGGUGGGAAGGGCCUGCCUCAGAGCCAACAGGCAGGCAGGACGUUGACUUUCCCUGCAGGGAGGCACUGCACCAUGCCAGAGAGGCUUUGCCAUCACCCCCCAGGCCCGGUUACGGCCCAGUUAGGACUCGACCCGUCUCCCUCUGUUUAGCAGAUACUAGGAAUUGAGAGGCGAGCAGAGGCAGAGGAGGUGCUUUCAGUGGCUGCAUGGCCUCUCGGGAGGUGACCCAGCCGCCAUGGUGGUCUGGAGCCCAAAGACUGAGAAUGGAAAAUGGCUGCACUGGUUUUGCUGUCGGUGCCCUUCAGCCUGUGUGUCUGUAAACUGGAAGAUCACGGUGCCUCCCUCAGGAACCUCCCCACCCUUGAGAAGUGUGUCUUGACCAAACACCCACAACCCCUCCCCCUGAUACUUUGGCAGGGGUCAGUGCCCUCCUCUGUGUUCCUAGGUUUCUAGGACUUAAAUCCCGCCAUCACUCACACAACAGGUGGCUGUCAUCUGCUUGCAGGUUCCAGCCCACAUCAUCCCUACAUCCCCAAACUAGGCCCAGGAGGCUGAGAUGUAGUGUCUUGGCGGUGCUGAGACUGUUUCCUCAAUGAACAAAGGACCCUGA